CCUACGGGAGGCAGCAGUGGGGAAUAUUGGGCAAUGGGCGCAAGCCUGACCCAGCAACGCCGCGUGAAGGAAGAAGGCUUUCGGGUUGUAAACUUCUUUUAUUGAGGACGAAACAAAUGACGGUACUCAAUGAAUAAGCCACGGCUAACUACGUGCCAGCAGCCGCGGUAAUACGUAGGUGGCAAGCGUUAAUCGGAAUUACUGGGCGUAAAGCGCUCGUAGGUGGUAUGUCAAGUCAAGGGUGAAAUCCCCGCGCUCAACGUGGGAACUGCCUUUGAAACUGGCAAACUGGAGUGUGUGAGAGGAUAGUGGAAUUCCAGGUGUAGGAGUGAAAUCCGUAGAUAUAAGGAAGAACACCAGUGGCGAAGGCGGAUUACUGGACGAUAACUGACGGUGAGGCGCGAAAGCGUGGGGAGCAAACAGGAUUAGAUACCCCUGUAGUC
rnacentral:rRNA from 1 species